rnacentral:lncRNA from 1 species
UUAUGCAACAGCUGUUGCCAGAGCGCCUCCCCCAGGUGAAGAGCAGUGUGCUGAGGGCUGGGGGUUCCGUGGUGAGUGAGAGAAGUCCGGGACCACCCUCCUUCUCCUGCUCGACACGACAGAUGCUGAAGGACCCGCCUGGAUAGAGGCGGUGAGCGUGAGGCCGGGUCCCGAGAGGCGCUAUGGAGCACGGGGCCGCUGGGGACAUCACCCGUCACGCUCACCGGCCAGGGUCCCCCACGUGUCUCUGCUUUCGCUGUGACAUUCUAUUCCACGUCUUGAGCAGAGAAUCUACCACUCCCGGUCUCCAUGGUCUCCAUGGUCUCCAGCAGAGAAAACACUUAAAUCUCUGUGCACAAAACCUCCCAGAGGUUCUCAGAAGGUCAAGACCCACGGUUGUCCUUGCUCUUACGCCGUGGACGCUACGCAGGGACUGGCAGCAGGACCCUGAGAGUUCAGCACAGCCACAAGACACUCGGUGUGGACCUGGCUGCCCGUCAGCUGCUGUGGGAAGAGAGUCACUGAUGACAACAGCGCCGGGAUCUCUGCAUGAAACGGCACCGCUCUGUGACCAUGUCAGCUCUCCGGCACCACUGCAAGGCCAGUGGAUGAUGGGACCCGUGGCCUCUUUUCCAAAGCAGAAGGAUCCUGACGUGACGCCACUGGCAGUGAAUCUCGGCUGUGGGGCCGAGGAAGGGGCUGAGCAGGGCUUUGCAGACAGAUCUGUAGGCAGAACAGCAGCCCUGCCUGACUCAGGCUCCUGGGCAGAACGCCCCCCACCCCCGCACCCAGGAGGGCCCCGUGCUACAGACGAGGUGAACGAGUACUAG